CCUUUUGAGCCAUUGUGCUUAACUGAAUUUUAUAAAGCUGAUCGAUAUCUUGGUAAAAUAUUCAUUUUUAAACUAGCGGCCAGCGAAAUCUUUGCUUUGUGCUAAAGUCAACAGCCGCCCGCUUGCGGCUCCCAUAAAUGCGGGGAUGCUCCCGGCUCCCGCAGAGCGGGCGCGGCGGCGCGGGGCGCAGACCGGGCGGCAUCCGACCGCAAACCCGGGAGACAGCGAGACUCCGCACCCAAACCGCCACCAAAGCCGGCGACUGUUCGGAUGGGCAGUCGCUGUCGCUGUCACCGUCGCGGCUCCUCCCGCGCCCCUCCGGGCGACUUUCCCAGCUCACAACCGCGAUCCGAAGGCAAACUCAGCCCCGCAUCGGCUCGCCUUGUUGGUCAAUAGAUGGCUCAAAGGCAGCGGACAUCAAAGCGCAAGGGGAUGGCACGUCGGGCAGGACAGCCGCGCUGCCCCGCUCGCCAAAGGGACAGCUCCUGCCCCAGCCGCCCCGAAGGUUCCUGCUCCCGAGCGGUGCGGGCAGGCGGCCCUGGCAGGAUUGUAUGCAAAAGCGGUCGGUGGGGAUCCUAAAAAAACCGGACAGCUCAGGAAAUAGUCCUAAUCCUAUAUUUCGGCCGGGGAAAGUCCGCUUCUGCUCCACACUAGAUUAAUCCAGAAACCACAUAAAACCAG
rnacentral:lncRNA from 1 species